UACGUAGGGGGCAAGCGUUGUCCGGAUUUAUUGGGCGUAAAGAGCGUGUAGGCGGUUCGGUAGGUCCGUUGUGAAAACUCGAGCUCAACCUCGAGACGCCGAUGGAAAACCCUCGAACUAGAGUCCGGAAGAGGAGAAUGGAAUUUCUGGUGUAGCGGUGAAAUGCGCAGAUAUCAGGAAGAACACCCCGUGGCUAAGGCGGUUCUCUAGUACGGUACUGACGCUGGAGACGCGAAAGCGUGGGGAGCGAACAGG
rnacentral:rRNA from 1 species